UUUGGGGUGUUCGGGCUUCCUGAAGGUAAUACCCGGGUAUUAGGCUUUGGGGCUAGGGUAAGGUUUAAGGUUUUUUGCGUUAGGGUUAAAAUCACUGUCCAAAACAUUUGUAGGAACUAUUUUCCAACCUUUUGAAGUUAGUUAGACCAAAAAAAAACGAAAAAUGAAAAAAAAUAUUUGGGGUGUUAGGGCUUCCUGAAGGUAAUACCCAUGUAUUAGGUUAUGGGGCUAGGGUAAGGUUUAAGGUUUUUGGCGUUAGGGUUAAAAUCACUGUCCAAAACCUUUUUAGGAACAUGUUUCAGACUUUUUGGAGUUGGUUACACCAAAAAAAAUGUAAAAUGAAAAGAAAAUAUUUGGGGUGUUCAAGCUUCCUGAAGGUAAUACCCGGGUAUUAGGUUAUGGGGCUAUAGUAAGGUUUAAGGUUUUUGGCGUUAGGGUUAAAAUCACUGUCCAAAACCUUUGUAGGAACUAUUUUCCAACCUUUUGGAGUUCGUUAGACCAAAAAAGAAACGAAAAAUGAAAAAAAAAAUUUGGGGUUUUCGGGCUUACUGAAGGUAAUACCCGGGUAUUAGGUUUUGGGGCUAGGGUUAGGUUUAAGGUUUUUGGCGUUAGGGUUAAAAUCACUGUCCAAUAUUUUUAAGGAACAUGUUUCAGACCUUUUGGAGUUAGUUAGAUAAAAAAAAAACGAAAAAUGAAAAAAAAUAUUUGGGGUGUUCGGGCUUCCUGAAGGUAAUACUAGGUUUCUGGGCUAGGGUAAUGUUUUAGGUUUUUGGCGUUAGGGUUAAAAUCAAUGUCAAAAACCUUUGUAGGAACUCUUUUCCAACCUUUGAGAGCAAGUUAGACCAAAACAAAAAGAAAAAUAAAAAAUAUAUAUUUGGGGUGUUCGGGCUUCCUGAAGGUAAUAGGUUAUGGGGCUAGGGUAAGGUUUAAGGUUUUUCGGCGUUAGGGUAAAAAUCACUGUCCAAAACCUUUGUAGGAACUCUUUUCCAACCUUUGGGAAUAAGUUAGACAAAAAAAAUAAGAUAAAUGAAAAAAAAAUAUUUGGGGUGUUCGGGCUUCCUGAAGGUAAUACGGGUAUUAGGUUUCGGGGCUAGGGUUAGGUUUAAGGUUUUUGGCGUUAGGGUUAAAAUAACUGUCCAAUAUUUUUCAAGGAACAUGUUUCAGACCUUUGGGAGUUAGUUAGACAAAAAAAAAAGAAAAAGAAAAAAAUAUAUAUUUGGGGUGUUUGGGUUUCCUGAAGGUAAUACCCGGGUAUUAGGUUAUGGGGCUAGGGUAAGGUUUAAGGUUUUUGGCGUCAGAGUUAAAAUCAGUGUCCAAAACCUUUUUAGGAACAUGUUUAAGACCUUUUAGAGUUGGUUACACCAAAAAAAAUGUAAAAUGAAAAAAAAAAUAUUUGGGGUGUUCGGGCUUCCUGAAGGUAAUACCCGGGUAUUAGGCUUUGGGGCUAGGGUAAGGUUUAAGGUUUUUGGUGUUAGGGUUAAAAUCACUGUCCAAAACCUUUGUAGGAACUCUUUUCCAACCUUUUGGAGUUAGUUAGACCAAAAAAAAAGAAAAAAGAAAAGAAUAUAUUUGGGGUCUUCGGGCUUCCUGAAGGAAAUACCCAGGUAUUAGGUUAUGGGGCUAGGGUAAGGUUUAAGGUUUUUGGCGUUAGGGUUAAAAUCACCGUCCAAAACCUUUGUAGGAAUGCUUUUCCGACCUUUUGGAGUUAAUUAGACCAAAAAAAAAAAAAAUGAAAAAAAUAUAUUUGGGGUCUUCGGGCUUCCUGAAGGAAAUACCCAGGUAUUAGGUUAUGGGGCUAGGGAAAGGUUUAAGGUUUUUGGCGUUAGGGUUAAAAUCACUGUCCAAAACCUUUUUAGGAACAUGUUUCAGACCUUUUGGAGUUGGUAACACCAAAAAAAAUGUAAAAUGAAAAAAAAAUAUUUGUGGUGUUCAAGCUUGCCGAAGGUAAUACCCGGGUAUUAGGUUAUGGGGCUAGGGUAAGGUUUAAGGUUUUUGGCGUCAGAGUUAAAAUCAGUGUCCAAAACCUUUUUAGGAACAUGUUUAAGACCUUUUAGAGUUGGUUACACCAAAAAAAAUGUAAAAUGAAAAAAAAUAUAUUUGGGGUGUUCGGGCUUCCUGAAGGUAAUACCCGGGUAUUAGGCUUUGGGGCUAGGGUAAGGUUUAAGGUUUUUGGUGUUAGGGUUAAAAUCACUGUCCAAAACCUUUGUAGGAACUCUUUUCCAACCUUUUGGAGUUAGUUAGACCAAAAAAAAAGAAAAAAGAAAAGAAUAUAUUUGGGGUCUUCGGGCUUCCUGAAGGAAAUACCCAGGUAUUAGGUUAUGGGGCUAGGGUAAGGUUUAAGGUUUUUGGCGUUAGGGUUAAAAUCACCGUCCAAAACCUUUGUAGGAAUGCUUUUCCGACCUUUUGGAGUUAAUUAGACCAAAAAAAAAAAAAUGAAAAAAAUAUAUUUGGGGUCUUCGGGCUUCCUGAAGGAAAUACCCAGGUAUUAGGUUAUGGGGCUAGGGAAAGGUUUAAGGUUUUUGGCGUUAGGGUUAAAAUCACUGUCCAAAACCUUUUUAGGAACAUGUUUCAGACCAUUUGGAGUUGGUAACACCAAAAAAAAAUGUAAAAUGAAAAAAAAAUAUUUGUGGUGUUCAAGCUUGCCGAAGGUAAUACCCGGGUAUUAGGCUUUGGGGCUAGGGUAAGGUUUAAGGUUUUUGGUGUUAGGGUUAAAAUCACUGUCCAAAACCUUUGUAGGAACUCUUUUCCAACCUUUUGGAGUUAGUUAGACCAAAAAAAAGAAAAAAGAAAAAAAUAUAUUUGGGGUCUUCGGGCUUCCUGAAGGAAAUACCCAGGUAUUAGGUUAUGGGGCUAGGGUAAAGUUUAAGGUUUUUGGCGUUAGGGUUAAAAUCAAUGUCCAAAACCUUUUUAGGAACAUGUUUCAGACCUUUUGGAGUAGGUUACACCAAAAAAGAAAUAUAAAAUGAAAAAAAAAUAUUUGGGGUGUUCAAGCUUCCUGAAGGUAAUACCCGGCGAUUAGGUUAUGGGGCUAUAGUAAGGUUUAAGGUUUUUGGCGUUAGGGUUAAAAUCACUGUCCAAAACCUUUGUAGGAACUAUUUUCCAACCUUUUGGAGUUAGUUAGACCAAAAAAAAACGAUAAAUGAAAAAAAUAUAUUUGGGGUGUUCGGGCUUCCUGAAGGUAAUACCCGGGUAUUAGGUUUUGGGGCUAGGGUUUGGUUUAAGGUUUUUGGCGUUACAGUUAAAAUAACUGUCCAAUAUUUUUUAAGGAACAUGUUUCAGACCUUUGGGAGUUAGUUAGACAAAGAAAAAAGAAAAAGAAAAAAAUAUAUAUUUGGGGUGUUCGGGUUUCCUGAAGGUAAUACCCGGGUAUUAGGUUAUGGGGCUAGGGUAAGGUUUAAGGUUUUUGGCGUUAGAGUUAAAAUCACUGUCCAAAACCUUUGUAGGAACUCUUUUCAAACCUUUUGGAGUUAGUUAGACCAAAAAAAAAAAAAAUGAAAAAAAUAUAUUUGGGCUCUUCGGGCUUCCUGAAGGAAAUACCCAGGUAUUAGGUUAUGGGGCUAGGGUAAGGUUUAAGGUUUUUGGCGAAAGGGUUAAAAUCACUGUCCAAAACCUUUUUAGGAACAUGUUUCAGACCUUUUGGAGUUGGUUACACCAAAAAAGAAUGUAAAAUGAAAAGAAAAUAUUUGGGGUGUUCAAGCUUCCUGAAGGUAAUACCCGGGUAUUAGGUUAUGGGGCUAUAGUAAGGUUUAAGGUUUUUGGCGUUAGGGUUAAAAUCACUGUCCAAAACCUUUGUAGGAACUAUUUUCCAACCUUUUGGAGUUAGUUAGACAAAAAAAAAAGAAAAAGAAAAAAAAAAAAUUUGGGGUGUUCGGGCUUCCUGAAGGUAAUACCCGGGUAUUAGGUUUUGGGGCUAGGAUUAGGUUUAAGGUUUUUGGUGUUAGGGUUAAAAUCACUGUCCAAAACCUUUGUAGGAACUCUUUUCCAACCUUUUGGAGUAAGUUAGACCAAAAAAAAACGAAAAAUGAAUAAAAAUAUUUGGGGUGUUCGGGCUUCCUGAAGGUAAUACCAAGGUAUUAGGUUAUGGGGCUAGGGUAAGGUUUAAGGUUUUUGGCGUGAGGGUUAAAAUCACUGUCCAAAACCUUUUUAGGAACAUGUUUCAGACCUUUUGGAGUUGGUUACACCAAAAAAAAAGUAAAAUAAAAAAAAGAAUUUUUUUGGGGUGUUCGGGCUUCCUGAAGGUAAUACUAGGCUUCUGGGCUAGGGUAAUGUUUUAGGUUUUUGGCGUUAGGGUUAAAAUCAAUGUCCAAAACCUUUGUAGGAACUCUUUUCCAACCUUUGAGAGCAAGUUAGACCAAAACAAAAAGAAAAAUAAAAAUUAUAUAUUUGGGGUGUUCGGUCUUCCUGAAGGUAAUACCCGGGUAUUAGGUUAUGGGGCUAGGGUAAGGUUUAAGGUUUUUCAGCGUGAGGGUAAAAAUCACUGUCCAAAACCUUUGUAGGAACUCUUUUCCAACCUUUGGGAAUAAGUUAGACAAAAAAAAUAAGAUAAGUGAAAAAAAUAUAAUUGGGGUGUUCGGGCUUCCUGAAGGUAAUACCCGGGUAUUAGGUUUUGGGGCUAGGGUUUGGUUUAAGGUUUUUGGCGUUAGGGUUAAAAUAACUGUCCAAUAUUUUUAAAGGAACAUGUUUCAGACCUUUGGGAGUUAGUUAGACAAAGAAAAAAGAAAAAGAAAAAAAUAUAUAUUUGGGGUGUUCGGGUUUCCUGAAGGUAAUACCCGGGUAUUAGGUUAUGGGGCUAGGGUAAGGUUUAAGGUUUUUGGCGUUAGAGUUAAAAUCAGUGUCCAAAACCUUUUUAGGAACAUGUUUAAGACCGUUUAGAGUUGGUUACACCAA
rnacentral:lncRNA from 1 species